CGGCAACCGCUCAAAUUUGAAAUCCGGCCCCCUCGGGACCCGAGUUGUAAUUUGCAGAGGAUGCUCCGGCGAGAGCCCCGGCCGAAGUCCCCUGGAACGGGACGCCUCAGAGGGUGAGAGCCCCGUCCGGCCGGGGCUCCAGCCACACGUUGCUCCUUCGAC
rnacentral:rRNA from 1 species